GUGGGACCUCCAAAUUGAGUUCUGAAAAUUGUCACGCGUUCGUGACGUCGUGUAGAUCACCGUGGUAUAUUCACAUACCCAAAUAGAGCAACGUAUGAGAAAGUUAUUGACGAAUGUUUGGUGUAUGCGCGUUAAAUAAUGUCAAUUUGGUUACUUUUUGUAUAGGUGAAAAUUAUACAGAAGAAGAAUGUAACCAAUCUAGGGGAGGCUCAGGGACCCACGAGACGUCGAUGUGAUCUGUUCAAGAAUUGCAAAGGUGUGGUAACUACGAGGAAAUUCAACGGUGUUCUGACAGAAUGGACCGAAUGAGAACUCACUUUCGGGUGGUUCAUCUUAGAAGUUGUAUAUUUGUAAAGCUUCCGAACUGUGUAAAUGGUUACGUCACUCUCACGUGACGGCCAGCAUGCCCUCCUUCGGGACGAGGUGUGUCAAAAAAUAAAUAA